rnacentral:rRNA from 1 species
GACGAACGCUGGCGGCGUGCUUAACACAUGCAAGUCGAACGAUGAAGGAGAGCUUGCUCUCCGGAUUAGUGGCGAACGGGUGAGUAACACGUGACUAACCUGCCCCUUUCACUGGGAUAACGCUCCGAAAGGAGUGCUAAUACCGGAUACGAACUCUGACCACAGGUUCGGAGUUGGAAAGUUUUUCGGAAAGGGAUGGAGUCGCGGCCUAUCAGCUUGUUGGUGAGGUAACGGCUCACCAAGGCGACGACGGGUAGCCGGCCUGGAGAGGGCGACCGGCCACACUGGGACUGAGACACGGCCCAGACUCCUACGGGAGGCAGCAGUGGGGAAUAUUGCACAAUGGGCGAAAGCCUGAUGCAGCGACGCCGCGUGAGGGAUGAAGGUCUUCGGAUUGUAAACCUCUUUCAGUAGGGACGAAGCGAAAGUGACGGUACCUAAAGAAGAAGCACCGGCUAACUACGUGCCAGCAGCCGCAGUAA